GAUGAACGCUGGCGGCGUGCCUAAUACAUGCAAGUCGAGCGAACAGACGAGGCGCUUGCUCCUCUGACGUUAGCGGCGGACGGGUGAGUAACACGUGGAUAACCUACCUAUAAGACUGGGAUAACUUCGGAAAACCGGAGCUAAUACCGUAUAAUCUAUUGAACCGCAUGGUUCAAUAGUGAAAGACGGUUUUGCUGUCACUACUAGAUGGAUCUGCGCCGCAUUGGCUAGUUGGUAAGGUACAAGCUUACCAAGGCAACGAUGCGUAGCCGACGUGAGAGGGUGAUCGGCCACACGAGAACUGAGACAGGGUCCAGACUCCUACGGGAGGCAGCAGUAGGGAAUCUUCCGCAAUGGUCGAAAGCCUUACGGAGCAACGCCGCGUGAGUGAUGAAGGUCUUCGGAUCGUAAAACUCUGUUAUUAGGUAAGAACAAAUUUGUAAGUAACUAUGCACGUCUUGACGGUACCUAAUCAGAAAGCCACGGCUAACUACGUG
rnacentral:rRNA from 1 species